AACACAAGUAAAUUGCAAGAAAUGUAUAUGUAGCAGUGUGAACUGUAUUGCUAAUUCCAUCGGAAGAAUGUACAUGGAGCCAGCAACAAAGAAUAAAGACACACAUGUACACAAUUCGUAGAAAACACUAUCACUGUGACACUGUCAUUGUCUGCAUAUACGUACAAAUUACAAUAUUUUACAACAUGUACUGUACUGUAUUGUCUCCUAACGGCGCCCGUUUUUCGAUUCAAUCGGCCAAAUCCAAGCCCUGAUUGAACCCAGAAAAACUCUAAAGAUUGAAAAGAAUGCAGUUAAACGCUUAACUAACACACCUUAAACCGAUCUUGGCCCA
rnacentral:lncRNA from 1 species